GUCUGAGGACAUUACUGGAGGGUUCGGAUCUCGAACCUGGGGCCUUGAAGAGGCCCGCGCUUGGGGUUUUUAGGCAACAGCAGGCCUCCAAGCAGAGUCCUGGUGUCCCGGACCGAAUCACUCCCCGAGAGACGGGCAAGGAGAUGGACCGCCAGCCAGGAAUAAUGGGAACCCUUCGCUUGGCAAACGAUAGUUUCCAAACUUAAGGUUGUGGAUGAAACUUUUUGGUGCGGCUGCUGCAGGAGCCCCAGCCCCGGGGUGCUGCUGACCCGAGGCAAGGGAGCCGGCGCACUCACGCUUAGCCGCUAAGGAGUCUGCGGUGUCGGCGAAAGCUCCGGACAUGAUUUUGGAAGGAGCUAGGGCCAAGGCUAAUAAACUACCAUAACUUCAAAAUAGUGAAGAAUAUAAUUAUUUGGAGAUAGCGGUGAAAACUGCACUACGAUGAACUGAUUUUUAUUGGUGACAUAACAGCAUAACUACCCUGGUUUUUGCCUACAUUCAUACUUGAUGUGAAAAAAAUUAAGAGAUACCUGAGUGAGGCAUGGUAAAC
rnacentral:lncRNA from 10 species